rnacentral:tRNA from 1 species
GGAGAGAUACCCAAGUUGGUGAAGGGGCAAGUUUGCUAAACUUGUAGGCCGGCAACGGCGCGUGGGUUCGAGCCCCACUCUCUCCGCCA